CUGUUGAACGGGGAUGGAGUCCCCCUCACAAUCGCCUGUUUUGGGCUGAUGACUCCUGUCGCGAG
rnacentral:ncRNA from 2 species